GAUUCGACUGUAGGAAACACAGGAACCCACAAAGAAGAGGUGACCACCGAGUACUACAACGACUCAACAGAAACAGUGACAGCAACACCGGACUACGACUACAGCGCCACCUUCGACUACUAUUACGUGACGGGUUUUUAUACGCCUCACGACAGGAACAAGGCCGCAGGGAUUGGUCCGUUAAGCCCGGUGCUCCUCCUGGGAUUGGCUGCCCAUCACAUCUGGAACUGAUGGGGGGGCUAAGGACCACCUGCAGACAGACAGG